rnacentral:rRNA from 1 species
ACCGUGUUGGACUGACCGCUGGUUUACCAGUUGUGCCGCCAGGUGCAUCGCUGGGUAUCUAAGUCGGGAUUGGAUAAGUGCUGAAAGCAUCUAAGUACGAAGCCAGCCACAAGAUUAGAUUUCUUAGGGUCGUUAAAGACGAUGACGUUGAUAGGAUGCAGGUGUAAAGGUGGUAACAUCAAAGCCGAGCAUUACUAAUUGCCCGUUCACUUUCUUU